AUUGAACGCUGGCGGCAUGCUUUACACAUGCAAGUCGAACGCAUCGCAAGAUGAGUGGCAGACGGGUGAGUAACGCGUGGGAACAUACCCUUUUCUACGGAAUAGCUCUGGGAAACUGGAAUUAAUACCGUAUACGCCCUACGGGGGAAAGAUUUAUCGGGGAAGGAUUGGCCCGCGUUGGAUUAGCUAGUUGGUGGGGUAAAGGCCUACCAAGGCGACGAUCCAUAGCUGGUCUGAGAGGAUGAUCAGCCACAUUGGGACUGAGACACGGCCCAAACUCCUACGGGAGGCAGCAGUGGGGAAUAUUGGACAAUGGGCGCAAGCCUGAUCCAGCCAUGUCGCGUGAGUGAUGAAGGCCUUAGGGUUGUAAAGCUCUUUCACCGAUGAAGAUAAUGACGGUAGUCGGAGAAGAAGCCCCGGCUAACUUCGUGCCAGCAGCCGCCGUAACAC
rnacentral:rRNA from 1 species